UUUUUGAAUAUUGAUGCAAAAUUGUUUUUGAACACCUGAAUGGUUAAAAAUGAUUCAUAUAAUUGAUCCCAACUGGUUUAGGACUAAAAUUUAGUUGUUAUAUUAGAAGUUGAAAUGCGGUAUGCACAAUAAUUUAUUUCAAGUCAAAAUGACAGUUUCUCUUGCCUGCUAACACUGAUGAUUAAUCAUGAAUGACGUGGAUUCUAGUUGCUUGAAAGCAAUGUUAUAUAAUGCUGUAUUUGUAGAUGUUUGCGCUUGGAAUGUAGAAAUUGCUGAUG
rnacentral:misc_RNA from 1 species